UACGUAGGGGGCGAGCGUUGUCCGGAUUUAUUGGGCGUAAAGAGCGUGUAGGCGGCCUGGCAGGUCUGCUGUGAAAACUCGAGGCUCAACCUCGAGAUGUCGGCGGAAACCGUCUGGCUAGAGUCCGGAAGAGGAGAGUGGAAUUCCUGGUGUAGCGGUGAAAUGCGCAGAUAUCAGGAAGAACACCUAUGGCGAAGGCAGCUCUCUGGGACGGUACUGACGCUGAGACGCGAAAGCGUGGGGAGCGAACAGG
rnacentral:rRNA from 1 species